rnacentral:misc_RNA from 1 species
UCUACUUCCUAACUAAUUUAUACUUCAAAUCCUAAUUCUAUUUGAUUUUGGAUUUCUAACAGUAUUAAGGAAGGAAGCACAAUGGAUAGAAUUUUCCACAUAUUUUUCCAUUCCCCUCUCCCCUGCAACAAUAUUUAAUUUAACCACUCUGUUUGAAUGUGCAACUCUGCUAUCUCAUCCUCUCGUGCGCGUGUGCAAUUGUGCAGCAUUUGCACACAUCUGUGCUAUCAUACUCUUCCUCUUCAAUUAUGAUCUACCAAAAAGAUUAGUACCGAAAUUGGUGAAUUCACUACACUGAGACUAUCUUCUUCUAGGAAUAGAUAAUGUAGAUUUAGCUCUCAGAAUUUUCUUUUUCAUGUACAUUUUAAGUUUAGUCUAAGCAUCUCCCAAGUCAACCUUUAUCUUUGGGGAAUUCUCUCGAGUAACAUCAUGACUUUCAUGAACAAACUAUAGAAUAAAGUCCUUGACAUAAAGUCCAAGUUGCAUGACCUGUGAUAAGCUUUGGUGAUGAAAACUGAAAAGAGAAGUUAAAAUGAACAUCAAAGUUAAAUGAACAAGCAAUCGCUUACUAUUCCAAAUGCAACACCAUUG